CCUGGGCGCGGUGGCGCAUGCCUGUAGUCCCAGCUACUCAGGAGGCUGAGGCUGGAGGAUCUCUUGAGCCCAGGAGUUCUGGGCUGUAGUGAGCUAUGCCGAUCGGGAUUCCGCACUAAGUUCGGCAUCAAUAUGGUGACCUCCCGGGAGCCGGGAACCACCAGGUUGUCUAAGGAGGAAUGAACCGGCCCAGGUCAGAAACAAAGCAGGUCAAAACUCCCGUGUUAAUCAGCGCCUGUGAACAGCCACUGCACUCCAGCCUGGGCAACAUAGCGAGACCCGGUCUCUA
ensembl:misc_RNA Metazoa_SRP Metazoan signal recognition particle RNA